rnacentral:lncRNA from 1 species
UGAAAUCUCAUUCAAAAGUGCUUUUACAUCCCCUCCCCAUGUUGCUGUUAGAAUUUUUUAUGCCUUUUUGAAAAUAUGCCUUACAUUAUACAUGUUGACUGGGAAUAAAUUCUAAAGUAUUCGAUAGAGAAAAAUCACUGAAUGAAUUUUUUGUUAGUGUCAAAGGAUACUUUUUUCUUUACAGUAUUCUGAAGAAGUUUUAGCUGUCUUUAAAAGUUAUAAAUUAGAUGAUACUCAAGCCUCCAGGAAGAAGAUGGAAGAACUGAAAACAGGAGGGGAGCACGUGUACUUCGCAAAGUUCUUAACAAGCGAGAAGUUGAUGGAUUUACAACUGAGUGACAGUAACUUUCGUCGACACAUCCUGUUGCAGUAUCUCAUUUUAUUUCAGUAUCUCAAGGGACAGGUCAAAUUCAAAAGUUCAAAUUAUGUUUUAACUGAUGAGCAAUCACUCUGGAUUGAAGAUACUACCAAGUCAGUCUACCAAGUAAGUCCAACAUGCAACAACCCAUGAUUGAAAAAAUGGAAAUUUAGAAUUUUCUUUGUUUCAGCCCCAAAUAGGAAAAUAAGGAUAAAGUUAAGCUCAGGUACAAGAACACAAACACUUCUUGGUUCUCUGCCUACAAACCACUCCUAUGAUGCAGAAAGUUGUUGAAACCUUAGUAUAUUCUUUCUAAUCACAGCUGCUAUCUGAAAAUCCC